UGGGGAAUAUUGCACAAUGGGCGCAAGCCUGAUGCAGCCAUGCCGCGUGUAUGAAGAAGGCCUUCGGGUUGUAAAGUACUUUCAGCGGGGAGGAAGGCGAUGUGGUUAAUAACCGCGUCGAUUGACGUUACCCGCAGAAGAAGCACCGGCUAACUCCGUGCCAGCAGCCGCGGUAAUACGGAGGGUGCAAGCGUUAAUCGGAAUUACUGGGCGUAAAGCGCACGCAGGCGGUCUGUCAAGUCGGAUGUGAAAGCCCCGGGCUCAACCUGGGAACUGCAUCCGAAACUGGCAGGCUUGAGUCUCGUAGAGGGGGGUAGAAUUCCAGGUGUAGCGGUGAAAUGCGUAGAGAUCUGGAGGAAUACCGGUGGCGAAGGCGGCCCCCUGGACGAAGACUGACGCUCAGGUGCGAAAGCGUGGGGAGCAAACA
rnacentral:rRNA from 1 species